AUGGGUAGCUUAAAUGGCAUAAGUUCUUAUUCAGUUAGAAAAAGGCAACAAAAACAACCAGGUACCAGUGCAAAGCAGAUGGAAAAGAAUAAGGCAUCGAAGAAUGUUGUGCAUGUGCCUCUGCUUCCUCCUGCUACUAAUGAGGUCACGGAUCCAGUUGUUGAUCCUAAAACACAGGAUGUUGAUGGGGUUACUUUAAGGUCCAUGACGGUUGGCUAUGGACGUAUGACGAUACCUGGAUUUGCUGAUAUCCGUGGUGCUUCAUUACGUGCUCAACGAUGA
rnacentral:rRNA from 1 species